AACGGCCGUACCAUGCUGAAUAUACCGGUUCUCGUUAGAUCACCGAAGUUAAGCAUCAUUCGGCGCGGUGAGUACUUGGGUGGGUGACCACCUGGGAACACUGCGUGCCGUU
rnacentral:rRNA from 1 species